rnacentral:rRNA from 1 species
UGUGGUGACGGAGAUCGUCCCACAUCGUCAGCCCAAGGCAGUGCCGUACUCCUCGUGAACACGGACCAGCGGCGGUUAGACUGGAGCCAAAAGGCAGCAGGGAAGGUGAGUUGAUGCGGGCCUGUCUUGCAUUGACAAUUUAUAGCCCCACUGUAUGGUGCUCCGGUCUGACCGAGGAAGUUGGGCAGCCCUUGCCCGYUGUGGUACACGCCGAAUGGCAGGGCCUCCCAACACGAGCUAACCGUGCGGCGUGGACUGCAYGCAGUGCUCACCGUGGCGGUGAUCUCGUGGUGGAGAGUGUCACUUGUGUGCCAGUGCUGC